UUCGUUCCCAGAACAAGUCCUUUAAAGGGAAUGUGACCCAUCCAGUCUGCCGACGGAAAAUUCCACUUGAGUUGUGUGCAGCAGGGAGCGCUGUUGGACAAAGUUGGCAACAAACUUUGGAACUUUGGAACAUAAUGUCUCUCAGAUGCAGUUCAAGACAGUAUAACUGAACUAUUCGGAUGAGUUAUUUUUCUAAUCAGCCUGUUUGGAGAAACUAUUACGCACCUGUGGAGCAGAUGGGAUCUGAACUUGGUCUCCUGGCUCAGAGACUUCACCCGACAAAGGAGCUGCGCUCUGAAAGCUUGGGAUUUCAAAUAAACCUGUUGGACUAUAACCUGGUGUCAUUGUGACUUCUGACUUUGUCCACCCCAGUCCAACACCGACACCUCCAUGUCAUGGCUGUCAUUGGCACCACAAUCUGCCGGCUCAAAGUGGAGGCAUAUCAACACUUCACCCGAUGAAGGAGCAAUGCUCCGAAAGCUUGUGAUUUCAAAUAAAACUGUUGGACUAUAA